UCCUAGUUUGGAAAGCUUUACUGGUACGUUUCGACUGUCUAUGUUAUACGUUGCUAACAGACGCAAGUCGAUUGACGUCAGCACAGAGGGCUUUAUAAAAGAGCUGUGUAGCUUCGUAGACAGAACCGAAACAACUGAAACUGCAUUAUUAGUCUGAAAAUGAGCAAGUCCGUAGCGUUCCUUUUCGUGCUGGUCUGUAUCCAGUUAAUGAUCCAGGGCAGUGAUCAAAUGCCAGCUGCUUCAGUCACCGACGUACAGAACGCUAAAGAUGGCGGCCAAUUCAAAAAUAUUUUUGCUUUUUUAGAAUGGUUUGGAUUUGGGCAUGGUGAGCACAAUCAUGGUCAUGGACAUAACGGACAUCACAAAAAUUCGACUACUACUACCGCCGCUAAAGAGACUGCAACCACUAUUCCAUUAAAACAAAAUCAAAAGUUUUGGGGGAAAUAAUUGAUUCCGGUGGUACUGUUGGCACCCUGUCAUAUUUCCCGUACGGAAAAAGCACGGAAACCCAAAAUAUUUUUGUUUUGACAAUAAAAUAAUCAAUUUGUCUAACUAUAUAAGCAAUUCAGCAUGUAAUUGUUGUUACAAUUUAUCCCUUUCAAGAUAUUACAAUAAAUUGGCACGUAGAUGUUAAUGAUUAA